CACUUGGGGGAACCGUGGGUUGAAUACACGAUUCUGCAGUGACUCUUUAGCAAAGUUAGACGACCGAAGGGGUAUGGGACGAUUUUGGCCAUUGGAUUUCAAUCUGAGGGUUCGGAUUAGAUGUACAUCACUAUGAACCAUUAUACGAUUGUGAUCGUUGAUCAAAAGAUCUGUGGCACAGAUUAGUUUUAAACGAACUCUCAUCUUGUCCCUCCAUCUUCCGAUCAAUGGUCGCGAAGCCUUCUAGCCGAACGGUAUGCACGGUCCGAUCCGAGCCGUUAGCGGCUGGAUCAACGGUUGUCGCUGUGUCAUCCUCCGACCUCCUCACCACAGACCAAACGCGGCGCGCCGCCCUACCUCACGGCAAAAGGGCGCACCGGUGACGAGUCAGCCAUGAAUCGAUGCCUAAGCACUGUUUCUACCGGAGCCACGUGACGAGGAGGAUGAGGCGGACUUGGAUGAGGACUACUUACUGGAUGGUGCGGCAUGGAGGGCUCUGCCCUCUGCACGCAGCGGACCAAUGGCGGAGGUUCAACUCCGGUGAGUAAUUCCGGUGACCUUAGUGGACUUCCCCGCCUGAGUCGGCCAUGGCUAUAUCCAGUGAACACCUGUGAACCUGCACGGCCACCGCACGAGGGAAAUCAUUGGUGUAAAUGUGGGUCGACGACGGCUUCAUUUUCCCUCACGGAGCCGCAACUAGGAUAGUUCUUGAGGCGACGAAGGAAGGAGGUGGCGGCUCGAGCUGGAGGACAAAGGGGUCGAGUUUUAUAGCCCGAGCAAGGAGCCCCGCGAGUUUCGCAACCACCCCCGACAGAUAUGGUGUGCGCAUGGUUGGGGAUCCGGUCAACACAGCUGAUCUCGUGGUGUCUGUUUGGGAGGG
rnacentral:lncRNA from 1 species